rnacentral:rRNA from 1 species
GCUACAAUGGGUGGUACAGAGGGUUGCCAAGCCGCGAGGUGGAGCUAAUCCCUUAAAGCCAUUCUCAGUUCGGAUUGUAGGCUGAAACUCGCCUACAUGAAGCUGGAGUUACUAGUAAUCGCAGAUCAGAAUGCUGCGGUGAAUGCGUUCCCGGGUCUUGUACACACCGCCCGUCACACCAUGGAAGUUGGGGGCGCCCGAAGCCGGUUAGCUAACCUUUUAGGAAGCGGCCGUCGAAGGUGAAACCAAUGACUGGGGUGAAGUCGUAACAAGGUAGCCGUAUCGGAAGGUGCGGCUGGAUCACCUCCUUUCUAAGGAG